UACGGAGGGGGCUAGCGUUGUUCGGAAUUACUGGGCGUAAAGCGCGCGUAGGCGGAUCUGCAAGUCAGGGGUGAAAUCCCGAGGCUCAACCUCGGAACUGCCUUUGAUACUGCGGAUCUCGAGUCCGAGAGAGGUGAGUGGAAUUCCUAGUGUAGAGGUGAAAUUCGUAGAUAUUAGGAAGAACACCAGUGGCGAAGGCGGCUCACUGGCUCGGUACUGACGCUGAGGCGCGACAGCGUGGGGAGCAAACAGG
rnacentral:rRNA from 1 species